UGGGGGAUUUUGCACAAUGGGCGCAAGCCUGAUGCAGCGACGCCGCGUGAGGGAUGAAGGCCUUCGGGUUGUAAACCUCUUUCGCUGGGUUGAAAGGCCAUGCUUUGGGUGUGGUUGAUUUGAACUGGUAAAGAAGUACCGGCUAACUACGUGCCAGCAGCCGCGGUACUACGUAGGGUACUAGCGUUGUCCGGAUUUAUUUGGCGUAAAGGGCUUGUAGGUGGUUUGUCGCGGCUGUCGUGAAAUCCUGUGGCUUAACCAUGGGGUUGCGGUGGGUACGGGCAGGCUUGAGUGCGGUAGGGGAGACUGGAAUUCCUGGUGUAGCGGUGGAAUGCGCAGAUAUCAGGAGGAACACCGGUGGCGAAGGCGGGUCUCUGGGCCGUUACUGACACUGAGGAGCGAAAGCGUGGGGAGCGAACAGG
rnacentral:rRNA from 1 species